AGGGAGCCAGAGUGGCAUGUGAGGCUGGACCCUGCACCCCGCACCUGGGGGCACUUAUCCUGAGGUGUGCUGCCAACAGGGCCCCAGCCACCAGCACCAGGGAGCCAAAGAAGGGGCUGGCCGGACAGGGUCUGGAGCUGGGCCCAGGAGGACAGCUCAGGCUGUGGCAGGAGGGAGGGUGGGGAAGAUGGGAGUGCUCAGAAUCUGCUCUGUGCCUCCAGGCUUCCCCCCAUCCCUGAUCCAGUGCCAGGCCUCUAUGUGUUCUCACAGGGUACCUCAGGCUCUUCCGGGCAAUGGCCAACAUCUCUCAUCCUCAAUCAUAAAGAGGGCGAGGGGUCUCUGGAGUAACGGUCAUGCCAUUCUGCAGCCUUAUCUCAUGACUGAUCACUUCCAAAAGCUCACAUUCUAAUCCUGUCACCUUGGGUGUGAGCAUUUCAACGUGUGAAUCUCCGGGACACACAUUCAGACCACAGCACCAGGGAGAAAGGAAAGGCUGGAAGGAGAGCCGACUCCCCCACCAGGAGCUUGGCCCUGAGCUGCCCCAGCCAUGCGGAAAUGUGUGUGCAUUGUGUGUGCUCGAAUACAUGCCCCACCCUCUCCAGGACAGGGCCGUGGAGGGUGCAGAGAAAACGGCUGUGCGGGCCAGCCCCUUGCAGGUCCUCCUGGACCUGGGAGAAGCGAUGCCCCCACAGCCUCCAGGAGCGGCCUGCCCUCCUGACCCUCUUCACUGCUGCCUGCUCCGCUGCAUCUCCAAACACCACUGCCAGCCAUCAGGCUGGAUUUUCUGCCUCCUUCACAGGACUCCUGUUGUUCCUUAUUUCCCUGCAACAUAUUUGUUGAAGACAGUGAGAUAUUCACCCUACAGAGCUUCUGGAGGCACUGCGCCCUGGGUGUCCUUCACACCACGGGAGGCCACGGGACGCAGUGGCUGGCCAUGGACCUUGCCUAUUCCUGGCUGGAAUCCACUGCAAAGAGAACUUUCAUGGAGCUGCUGUCUGUUCAAAGGGGUACAGGUGGAGGAGGAGCAGACACAAUUUCCUGAGGAAAGCAAAUGUCACUGUGUCCCUUAAGUUGCCAGCUUCCACAGGGAUGUCCUGCCAUGAGCCCUCCUCCCAGGAGCUUUCACAGCUGGGUGGGCUGGUAUCCUGGGUGCAGUUUAACUGAAGGGGGUGUUCUCACAGCCACCUCCCAAGGCCUGGGGGAUGGUGGGCCCAGAGGCCUCAGACCUGCACCUGCUGCCCAGGCGAUGGGGUGGCUGGGCCCCGGGUGCCCAUGAACUAUAGGCAAAAAAAACUGUAAGUCAGUUCUGCAGGGUUUCCUGAACAUUUUACGAUCCCCAAGUCGUAUCUGAACAUGUCAAGAAUCUCUGGUGUCUUGGCUUGGGUGUAAAGAUGAAGUUCUUUCCUCCUCUGUAUUCUAGGAGGAAAGAGGGUUUUCAUUCCCUUCUGAAUGUUAGGAGGGAAGGCAUUUUCCAUCCUUGACCAGCUUGUAGAUGACACACAUUCGGCAAACACACACUCCCAGCAGCACCGAGAGAACACACAGGUGUGUCACGCUUUUGCGUUCAUAAGGCCUUUUCAUGUCAGUAUUUUAUUAGAUAUUCCCAAAUGAGGGUGUUUUCUCAUCUUAUAGAAGAGGGGCCUGAGGCUCACAGGGUGAAAACAACUUGCUUAAGCCUACACAGCGGCUGUGCUGGCAACGUUUCUCCCGGUAUAAAUGAGAAGCAGCCUUUGUGGCCACAGAGAUGUGACUGCUAAGUGCAUUGUCCCACCCUGAAGGAGAUUCUUCCUCAACAAAAGGACAUUAGUGCAAAGACUGAUGAAGUCUGUAGUUUCGUGGGGUUUUUUUUUUUUAAGCAUAAGGGGUUAAAUAUUAUGUAAUUAAUAAGGCAGUUGUGAGGAUGCAACUGCCAAAAGUUUGAAAAAAGCUGCCCAGAUGGAAAUCUGCUUGCAUUUGUGCAAGCAGAUAGGUGAGGAAUUUUUAUUGUACUGCCGUGUCCCCUACCUGCCCCAGCUUUAUUGAGUUAUAAUUGACAAGCAAAAAUUGUUUAUAUUUAAAGUGUACAAUGUGAUGUAGCCUUUUUGUUUUGUUUUGUUUUGAGACAUAAUCUUAUCACCCAGGCUGGAGUGAAGUGGCGCAGUUUUAACUGCGCAGGCUCAUGAUCCUCCUUCCUCAGACUCCUGAGUAGCUAGAACAACAGGUGUGAGCCACCAUGUCUGGCUAAUUUUUUUAUUUAUUUAUUUUUUAAGAGACAGGGCCUCCCUGUUUCCCAGGCUGGUCUUGAACUCCUGGGCUCAAGCAAUCAUCCCGCCUCGGCCUCCCAAAGUGAUGGUAUUACAGGCAUGAGCUACUGUGCCUGGCCAGAAAUGGUGAAUUAUAAUUAAAGGCUUCUGUAAGUCAUGCUGUCAUAUUUUAAUGGAAAUACCUCCUUUCAUUGCAGCUGGGUUGCUUACAAAUACACUACUUCAAAGUAAACUUUCUCUAGUAACAUAUCAGGAGCAAAGUAAAAUCUACUUGAAGCAAGUAAAUCUGACUGCUACCCCACUAUUUUGAAGCAUACACGGAAAGCUGGUUCCUGGACCCCCACAUAUACCAAAAUCUGUGCAUACUCAAGUUCUACAGUCGGCCCUGUGGAACCCAAGUAUAGGACAAGCCGGCCCUCCCUAUACACCAGGUUUGACAUCCCGAAAACACUGUUGGUUCCCUUCCCAUUUGGUUCCAGAAAAUCUGCAUAUAAGUGGACCCAGUGGUGCAAACCCAUGUUGUUCAAGGGUCAACUAUAUAUGAUGAAUUAUUGUUACCUACAGUCACUCUACCAUGCUACUAAACACUAGAACUGAUUCAUUUUCUGUGAUUGUGUGUCUCUACCCAUUAACCAGCCUCUCUUCAUCUCCCUUCCCGCUUCCCUCCUCAGCCUCUGGUAACCAUCAUUCAACUCUCUACCUCCAUGAAAUCAACAUGAGUGAGAACUGGUGAAACCCAAACAUAGUCUCGAGUUUAGCUUUUUUUUUUUUUUUUUUUAACUGUAAGAGGCUAAACAUUCUUGAGGAGGACACAAAAAAAUCUGAAGACAACUGCCCAGAUGAGAAUCUUGCACUUGCACAAGUAGAGAGGAGAGUUAGUUUUUAUACCAUCACAUCCCCAAUCCCAGCUUUACUGAUGCAUAAACAAAUAAAAAUUGUACAUAUUUAAAGUGUA